rnacentral:rRNA from 1 species
CCCUUAGAUGUUCUGGGCUGCACGCGCGCUACAAUGUCAUGAAAACCGGGAUGCUUUAACGAAAUUUAUUGCGAAACCCCAACUCAUGACGCGACUGGGAUUGACGUUUUUAAUUAUUCGCCAUGAACGAGGAAUUCCUAGUAAACGCGAAUCAUCAGUUCGUGUUGAUUAUGUCCCUGCCCUUUGUACACACCGCCCGUCGCUCCUACCGAUUGAGCGUUUUGGUGAGCACUCUGGAGUGCAGCAAUGCAUAAAUGAAUGCAAACCUGAGCGUUUAGAGGAAGGAUAAGUCGUAACA